CACGCAGGCCGCGUGGCUGGAAAGGAUCUCCUGAUCUCUGAGGGUCUUCAGGCUCUGGAGCUCAGUGGGAACUCUUUGGACAGCAGCUCCGGAGUGUGCCACCCAUGGAGUGAUCAGCACCGCGGGCCAAGGAGGAAAGAACCGUGUUGGGGAGUGUGACCCAGACGGGCCAGCUGAUGCAGAGCCCGGUCUGCAAAAGGGGAUGUGAGCCCACGUGCUGGAGCACUGAAGAAGGAGCUCACGUGCUGGAUUCCACAAGUCCCUUGCCCCGAGGGGCGGCGCCUGCGUGAGGCAGCACCUUCAACCCUGCCCUCGCCGGGGGACUCGCGAGUUAGCAGCCGGCCUGUUGAGGUCAGAGGAGGCGGGGUGCGUCCAAGCCUAGCGACUGCGCGUGCUUAAAGCUCUGGAGCAGAGAACGAGCGAGCGGCCUGAGCAACCCCAGCCCGUGACACCACCCGAACCACGCGCCACUACAGCUUUCCCGGCAUGGGGCGGGGGGCAAAUGCGGGGUGCUCUCCAUCCAGAGAGAGCUACGUUGUCCGCGGCUACGUGGACAACAGAGCGACCAUGUUCCCUCUGCAGCUCACCUCGCACAUCCCGAAGUGGGUAUGGGAAAUCAAGUCGCUCCACUGCUGACAAGGCUCCCAGGUAGUCAGCAGCACUCUGGGCAUCAGGGAAGCAGUGGUCAUUCUCAGCUGACUGCAGACAGAGCCGGUUGUCAAUCUCCAGCAUCACCACAGAGCUGUGGGAACAGAGCAGAGGGACCCAAAGGCUCAACACUUGUCUACAGCAUCCUAGACACCCGACCUCAGAGAGCCACAUCCGUCUCCACUCUCCAUGUCUCUACCACCCACCCAGCUCUCAGCUGGCAUCCAACUCCACUGUCUCUCCCAACAGAUCUUAUUGGUCACAGUGUCUCAAAGCUGUGAAUUCAAUAAUGUCUUCAUUCGCCCUGGUAGAGUCUGUUGGUGUCGCCCUUUGCUGGGACAGUGUACCAUGUCAGUUUCUCUAAAAGCUUGCUUUUUCUCCUUUAUCCUUCUUUGUGGUAUUGGAGAUGAACUUGGGGCCUUGAAUAUACAAGGUAGGUUCUCUACCACUGAGCCACGUCCUCUACUGUCCCCCAAUUCUUAGGUCUCUGAGAGUCCUUAGAUUCCUUCUUCAUUUCCUUCUCUCCUGCUUCCUUGAUUCUCCCUUCUUUCCCUCCAAUGGCCUCCAAUACCCAGUUGUCUUGUAUGCAUCUUCAGCCCUCAGUCAUCUCCUGGGGUUCCUCCCCAUACCUCAAGACCCCCUAAGAAUAGCAAGUUCCAAGGUGGCCCCUGCUUAGCCCUAUGUCCUCAUCACUAAGCCACUUUAGCCAAGAAAGGGGCCAUGUGUCACCUCACCCAUCUACUUGACUUCUGCCUGCAUCCAAUCAGAACCCACAAACCACAGCAUCUCUAAAGUUCAGCUCUCCUUUCCUUGUCAGGGCCCAAUCUUCAGGCCCUGGUCCACCCUCAAAAAAAUGCCUCUCCCACUUCAGGUUCCCCCUACCAGGUCACCAGUGAGCAAGUUCUACAACUUUUGUGAGAUGAGGGGAAAGGGGAAUGAAGAGAGUGGGGAGGAAAGAGAGUGAGUGUCGGGGGCGAUAUUGUAUGCCUGCAAUCCUAGUACUUGGAAGGGCUGAGUAGGAGAACCAUGAGUUCAAAGCCAACCUGGGCUACAGAUUGAAUUUCAGGUUAGUGCCUAUAAAACACAAACAAAGCAAACAACGAGAAGAAAACAACAAACAAGCCAGCGAAAUGGCUCACAGGCAACAUGCUCAUCAUGCAAGCCUGACAUCCUGAUGAGAAGAGAGAACUGACUUCACACUGUUGUCCUCUAACCUCUACAGGCAUGCGUCGUCAUGGCACUUGGGGACCUACACACACACAUCAUGCACACAAGAAGGUGCUGUCACCUGCAUUUGAAGAGUAAAAUCUCAGCGCUGCAGCGAGGCUCCCUGUAGUGUACAGAGGAUGAACCCCCCCCCCAUAGCAAAGAUGUCAACCCGACAGACACGGAAAAACCUGUGGAAGACGCCUUGCCAAGAGAGCUCUCAACUAAGAAGCGUGAAACAGACGGUCUGGACCACGGGUGCCCUAACCGCUGUACCCAGCCCUGAGCCACAGUCACUCACCCGAUCACCUCAGGACCCAGCUCACGACGGACCCGGGAUUCAGAGCCAGGGCUUGGCCGGUGAUAGGGGAAGACCAUGGCCUGGCCACGUGCGUCCAAGCGGAAGCGCAGUGAGGUGCGCAGAAUAGCGCUGAGUCGCUGCAGAAAGUCGGCACUGGAGCGCAGCAACUCUUCAGGAGGCAGAAGAACUGUGAGGACCAGAACCCCUCGGGCCAAAAGGGCCGGGACCUCGCUGGCACAGUCCAGCCCAUCCCAGCCGCAUUCCUCAGUGUUGCAGCCCUGGUCACAACGGCCAUCUGCAAAGUGGUCGGCGCAGUACUUCUCAUAAACAGGGCUGGGGACAGAGAACACAAACUCAGAGAUUCUUCGGGUCACCUAAAUGCACACACAGAGAAUAGCAGUAGUGGACAGUGCUGGUAUGGGGUUGGGGAUGGUGGUGGUGGGAAAUGUUCUUGCAUAUGCUUUCUGCAAAUGCAGUCGUUGGCUGCAUAAGCACAAGUUCUGUGUUCCUAAUUUGAAAUAAUUGGGACUAAAACUAUUUCAGAGUUCAAAUUAUAGUUUUAGAAUAUUUACACAUAUGCUUAAAUAUUAUAUAUGCAAAUAAAUGCAAUGAGAUAUCUUUCU
ensembl:lincRNA Gm17276 predicted gene, 17276